rnacentral:rRNA from 1 species
UACGUAGGGUGCGAGCGUUAAUCGGAAUUACUGGGCGUAAAGCGUGCGUAGGCGGUUCGCUGUGUCCGAUGUGGAAGCCCCGGGCUUAACCUGGGAAUGGCAUUGGAAACUGGCGGGCUUGAGCCACUUAGGGGCUACCGGAACAAAUGGUGGAGCGGUGAAAUGCGUAGAUAUCAUUUGGAACGCCAAUGGUGAAAACAGGUAGCUGGGAGUGUGCUGACGCUGAGACACGAAAGCCAGGGGAGCAAACGGG